GAUGAAGAACGCAGUGAAAUGCGAUAAGUAGUGUGAAUUGCAGAAUUCAGUGAAUCAUCGAAUGUUUGAACGCACAUUGCGCCCUUUGGUAUUCCAAAGGGCAUGCCUGUUCGAGCGUCAUUUGUACCCUCAAGCUUUGCUUGGUGUUGGGCGUCUUGUCUCUAGCUUUGCUGGAGACUCGCCUUAAAGUAAUUGGCAGCCGGCCUACUGGUUUCGGAGCGCAGCACAAGUCGCACUCUCUAUCAGCAAAGGUCUAGCAUCCAUUAAGCCUUUUUUUCAACUUUUGACCUCGGAUCAGGUAGGGAUACCCGCUGAACUUAAGCAUAUCAAUAAGCGGAGGA
rnacentral:misc_RNA from 1 species